UGACAAUUUAUGGGCGCAGCACAAUGACGUCACGCCCACAGUCGCUCCCCCUUUAAUAGCCUAGCCACCAUGUAGCUUACGGCUAGCUAGCAGCACACAGUACUUUACUCUCAUUGUUCUAAAAAAAAAAACCAGGACGUUUCACGAAUAAAUCCCCAAAUUAACUUCCGCCAGGCACCAUAGCUGAGCCACGCCGACACCAGCGUUAGGGUCUAGUUAACCCGCACGAACCCCAAAGAGCAUCAUCAUUGGAGCGGCUAGCUAUCCUCCAUUAUAGCCUAGCCGAGCUAGCGUUAGCAACAUACCUUCCGCAACAUCCUCAUCUAUCGCUCCUUUCACUUGAGAGAAACACCACUGAAAAUCAUUUCCUCCUGCAACCCCUGCAAGGUAAAAGGGAAGAGUGCAGUUUUGUUACAUCGGUUUGGCGACAGCACAACAAAAGAACUGCCAGUGACACAGUUUUGACAACUAGCACGUUAGCUAGCCAGGCCAUCAUUCACACACACACACAUACACACACACACAGAUACACACAGCUAGCGAGGUGGAUCCUUUUCCUCUCUUCUUGCCUAAAAGUAGCUUACCCGCCAUUGCUUCAUUUAGCAGCUUUUGCUCUACACCGCUUCCGAUGCCUCCAAGACGACGCGCUCGGCUCACUCGGAGAAGCGGUUAAGGAUCCACAAUCAAUGUGAACAGUCGGGCUUCGGAUCUGUCAAGAGCACAGAAAUUAUCCGUGAUUUUUUUUUUCGCUUUCCAAAAUGGCGCACAGUACAUGGAGCGGUGACGUCAUGCACACAUGCCACACUCGGCGCGCCGUGCAUCCUGCUCCAGCAUCACUAAGGCAGGUGAGGUGUAGCAGGGUUGGAUGGCGUGUGGAAUGAACGCAGCCUCGUAGCGUUUACUGUGGGAACGGAAGUGGAGGAGCCUCCUCGGCCUCUCCGUCGUCUAUGAGGAUCAGGGCCACAUUCGGCAGACACGCCGCCUCCGGAGAAGACGCCAUUUUCCUCGGAAAAUACGGCUCAUUACCAGUGCAGACAAAAUGAAGCAUCCUAAAAGCCAGGAGGGCCCGGCGAUGAGCGAGCAUCCACGAUGAGGCCUUUCCACAUCAUUUGCAUGCCGUCUCCUCGGCAGCGCAGGCUCGCCGCAGGUCCGACACGGCGGAGGACACGCCUCUGUUUCCUGUUUCCCCUCCUGCCCCCCCUCCUGUGGUGAAAUGAAGACAGAAAAAGCCAAAUUGGAGUGACUUCUGCAUGGAGAUGCUCAAUAGGUCCACAAAACAGUGAUGGACACUUCCACGAUUGAAGGCUGUGCAUGAGACUGAUGGCACCCCAGGUCCAGAUGGCUCCUGCACACAGAUUUGCAUUCAUUUCCCCACUAAUAUGUCCACAACGAGCUGGGGGCCAGCUGCAUUUGUUGUCAAAUACGCUUUAAAAGUCCCUUUCAGGACGGCAUCGUUACCGACCUGACGGCUGCU